GACGAACGCUGGCGGCGUGCUUAACACAUGCAAGUCGAACGGAAAGGCCCUGCUUUUGUGGGGUGCUCGAGUGGCGAACGGGUGAGUAACACGUGAGUAACCUGCCCUUGACUUUGGGAUAACUUCAGGAAACUGGGGCUAAUACCGGAUAGGAGCUCCUGCUGCAUGGUGGGGGUUGGAAAGUUUCGGCGGUUGGGGAUGGACUCGCGGCUUAUCAGCUUGUUGGUGGGGUAGUGGCUUACCAAGGCUUUGACGGGUAGCCGGCCUGAGAGGGUGACCGGCCACAUUGGGACGGAGAUACGGCCCAGACUCCUACGGGAGGCAGCAGUGGGGAAUAUUGCACAAUGGGCGGAAGCCUGAUGCAGCAACGCCGCGGGCGGGAUGACGGCCUUCGGGUUGUAAACCGCUUUCGCCUGUGACGAAGCGUGAGUGACGGUAAUGGGUAAAGAAGCACCGGCUAACUAC
rnacentral:rRNA from 1 species